UAAGUGCUGAAAGCAUCUAAGCACGAAACUUGCCCCGAGAUGAGUUCUCCCUGAGACUUUAAGUCUCCUGAAGGAACGUUAAAGACGAUGACGUUGAUAGGCCGGGUGUGUAAGCGCAGCGAUGCGUUGAGCUAACCGGUACUAAUGAACCGUGAGGCUUAACCUU
rnacentral:rRNA from 1 species